CUUGAGAUCUUUCGUUUCUUUGAUAUUUUGGUCUGCAGAUUCACAGGGCUCCUCCAUGGCCUAGCCCGAAAAAGAGCACAAUUCCAGCAACAGAGUUUCAGAUGUUUCGCCUUCGGACAUCAGCGUGAGUUAUGCAACAGACAUACGAUCACCAUGUAACAAAUGGACCUGAUUCUAGUUAUUUAUCAGAAAAUGAAACUACAGAGAUCUAAGGGAAUUAAAGUUUGCAAUCGACAAGAGAUGCCUAAAGGAACCACCAGCAGAUUCAUUUAGUAAGCUCUCCUUUGGAUCCGAAGAACAGUAUAAUACAAAACCUCAGUCAAAAAGUGCCUUUGCCUGGUAAGAUUAAUCAUUAAUCUCUCUUCGUAACGUGAUUAGUGAAACGCCUAAGAGACCAAGCUCCGAAUUUGUUAUAUUAAUACAAGAUUGAUUGCUCCCACUAAUUGAAAUAAGGCCACAAAAGUGAACAGACCAAAGCUCCUUUCAGCAAGAUCAUGAGGUAAAUUAUAAGUUUAUAUCACUUUGUAUUUUGAGGGCGAUCUUUGGCGCAACUGAAAAGUUGCUCCAUAUCGAAAAGUCGCAAGUUUGAGUCGUGAAAAUAGUUUUCUUGUAAAACAAGAGUAAGACUGCGUACGGUAGACGUUCUCCUCCCAACCCUCACAAAGUAGAAAGAUUUAUUGGGUUGGGGUCGCUCUUUUUAUAUCAUCUAGUAUUUUCUUUGUGGCGUAUUAAUUUUGUUGACGAAGUAAUCUAACUAAAUUGAAUUCUUUUUAAUACAUAGGGCUCAUAGUCUCGUAGCAUUAUAUGGUUAACAAACGAGCUUCAAAACGAUGAAAAUGACAGGAUGUCACGAAAGAAAAAUAGGUGGUUAAGUGGGAAGCAGAUAUAUCAUUGUUUGAGUAAAAGAAGUGGAUUCCUCGAUUAGAAAACAGCCGGUGAAAAUCUAGCAUGAUUUUAAAGCUGGUUAACUUAUAUUGUGGUGCUACAGUUCGAAAUGAACCUACAAGUUGACUUUUGUUUGGGAAUUAUGAAACGAGAAAAAGGAAAAACAAGAAAUUUGAAUACCUACAAAUCUCAAUGCACACAAUAGAGCCAGGAGGGCAUGAACAUGGGCUAUACAGUGCAAAAACUAAGGUACCAAUUUUCGCACUUUCGAUUUAGUUUUAGGUCUUUC